rnacentral:rRNA from 1 species
ACAGAGGUGGCGAGCGUUGUUCGGAUUUACUGGGCGUAAAGGGCGCGUAGGCGGCGGAGUGUGUCGGGUGUGAAAUCCCAGGGCCCAACCCUGGAAGUGCGCCCGAAACUGCUCCGCUCGAGUGCGGGAGGGGAGAUCGGAAUGCAGGGUGUGGCGGUGAAAUGAGUUGAUAUCCUGCAGAACAGCGGUGGAGAGGGCGGAACUCAGGAACGCAACUGACGGUGUUGCGGGUAAGUCGGUGGAGCAAGCAG